UUGCUCUUCAACGAGGAAUACCUAGUAAGCGUGAGUCAUCAGCUCGCGUUGAUUACGUCCCUGCCCUUUGUACACACCGCCCGUCGCUACUACCGAUUGAAUGGCUUAGUGAGGUCUCCGGAUUUGCGGUGGGGAGCCGGCAACGGCUCUCUGUUGCGGAGAAGCUGAUCAAACUUGGUCAUUUAGAGGAAGUAAAAGUCGUAACAAGGUUUCCGUAGGUGAACCUGCGGAAGGAUCAUUAACGAAUAUCUAUGGCGUUGGUUGUAGCUGGCUCUUAGGAGCAUUUGUGCACGCCCGUCAUUUAUAUCAUCUUUCCACCUGUGAACUAUGUGUAGUCUGGAUACCUCUCGCUUUGGUGACAAGGCGGAUGCAAGGAUUGCUGCGUCGAAAGGCCAGCUCUCUUUGAAUUUCCAGGUCUAUGUUUUUUUACACACUCCAUUUGAAUGAUGUCGAAUGUAAUCAAUGGGCUUUCAAGCCUAUAAAAAACUAUACAACUUUCAGCAACGGAUCUCUUGGCUCUCGCAUCGAUGAAGAACGCAGCGAAAUGCGAUAAGUAAUGUGAAUUGCAGAAUUCAGUGAAUCAUCGAAUCUUUGAACGCACCUUGCGCUCCUUGGUAUUCCGAGGAGCAUGCCUGUUUGAGUGUCAUUAAAUUCUCAACCUCACCAGUUUUGUAACGAGACAGGUGAAGGCUUGGAUGUGGGGGUUUUGCAGGCUGCCUCAGUGCUGGUCUGCUCCCCUGAAAUGCAUUAGCGAGCUUAUACCGAGCUUCGAUCUAUUGGUGUGAUAAUUAUCUACGCCGUGGAUUUGGACUUGUGCUUGCUGCUAACCGUCCGCAAGGACAAUUCACUUGACCAAUUUGACCUCAAAUCAGGUAGGACUACCCGCUGAACUUAAGCAUAUCAAUAAGCGGAGGA
rnacentral:rRNA from 1 species